AACAUACUGUAUGCAUAUGCUUCAGAGCGAGUACCAACUCUAGAGGCACAGUGAGAGAAACAAAGGGUCUCCUCUGUGCUUUCUGACCACUGUCAGAAAUCUGUAGCAGGAAAAGUUAACC